CUGAAAACACGCAAAAUAAAGUACAUUUACCUCCAACACACAAUCUGGCUUAAUAAAGGGGGAAGGAUUUCACUGUUGGAACAACUCAUCAUCAGCAGGGGAGGAAGAUGUUAGAAUGGAUGUAUGGAUAUUUUCAAGCUUUAUUAAAAGACACCCUCAGAUGAGUGUUUUCAGAGGUGGAUUCACACUGCAGCACCCAGAACACACCAAGGCAGAGCGUCUGACGCUGCACUUCAACCUGCAAUGUUUUCACGGUGAGUUUAUACCCUGGAUAUUAUUGGGACUUGUGGGGAGGCUGAUAGCAACACCAGAGGACCCCACCAGACCAAGGGGACCCCCGGCAGUCCCCCCAGAGAUGACCACGGCCCCCCCAGGAGACACCAGAGAAGGGACACAGGAGGGGCAGGCGCACAGGGCACCAGGCCCUGGCAUGGUGGGCUACCAGAACGGGACUGGGCGGAGGCUGGAGCCCCCCAGCCAAGCAGCCAGGAGCCCAGCCCAGCCCCCGCUUUAUUGGCUGAUUCAAAACAAAGUAUGCAUGUUGUCCAAUAUACGUAGACACAGCCGUCACCUGGACCCAUCAUCAAUCCAAUAGUCACAGCUUUCUUCCACUUCACAUCUGGAUAUAAACGACACAAUUAAUCAUCAGCAGUUCACUCCAGUCCUUCUGUCUUCCUACAUCAGGGGUCGGCAAUUAGCGGCCCGAGGGCCACAUGUGGCCUGCAAGCAAAAACAUCUGGCCCUUGAGAUUGCUUGAAUGAGAGAGUGACAAUAAAAAUAAAUUCUACUUUUUAAGAAUUGAACUGGCAGUCUCAACAAAAUUACUUCAUUUGGAAACUUAUUUUUUCAGAGAAACAUUUCAAUCGCUCUAAAUUCUUAUCUGUUAUAUCUGGUUACGGGUGAAAAAGCACAUCGGCGAGGAGCAGCGUUAGCGCUCACCAUGCAACAACAAUGACAUCAGCGGACAGCGCCUGGUGUGUCCAGGUGAGAAUAUUGGUCCAUGGUUGACAUACUUGGAUCCAAAUUCACUGUAUUUGCAUUUCCAUAUAGAUUAGACCAGUAUCUUUAGUUCUGGAUGACAUGAAUUCUCAUGUUUUUGUGUGCAAGAUAUUUUCAAUGUACAUUUGAGUAAUUUACAUUGUAUAUGUGUUUUCUGUAAUCAAACUGCGAACGAAUGGUAGUGUGAAAGGGUUGGAUCUGGACAUUGAAUUCUGUCUAGAUUUUCACAAACUGUAAUAAUAAGUAUAAUUAUUGAUAAAAAUACAAAUCACCAUUGAAAAAAGUGCAAUGUUACACGUUUUUAUUGAAAAUAUGCAUUAAAUGUUCUCAUAACUGUGAAACA